rnacentral:rRNA from 1 species
ACACGACUCUCGGCAACGGAUAUCUCGGCUCUCGCAUCGAUGAAGAMCGUAGCGAAAUGCGAUACCUGGUGUGAAUUGCAGAAUCCCGCGAACCAUCGAGUCUUUGAACGCAAGUUGCGCCCGAGCCAUUCGGCCGAGGGCACGCCUGCCUGGGCGUCACGC